rnacentral:rRNA from 1 species
CAAGUCGAACGGGGGUGGGGGCAACUCCACUUCAGUGGCGAACGGGUGAGUAAUGCAUCGGAACGUGUCCCGUAGUGGGGGAUAACGCCGCGAAAGCGGCGCUAAUACCGCAUACGCUCUGUGGAGCAAAGCCGGGGACCCGCAAGGGCCUGGUGCUAGGGGAGCGGCCGAUGUCCGAUUAGCUAGUUGGUGGGGUAAUGGCUUACCAAGGCAACGAUCGGUAGCUGGUCUGAGAGGAUGAUCAGCCACACUGGGACUGAGACACGGCCCAGACUCCUACGGGAGGCAGCAGUGGGGAAUUUUGGACAAUGGGGGCAACCCUGAUCCAGCCAUGCCGCGUGCGGGAAGAAGGCCUUCGGGUUGUAAACCGCUUUUAGCCGGGAAGAAAAGGCGCGGGCUAAUACCCUGUGUUUCUGACGGUACCGGCGGAAUAAGCACCGGCUAACUACGUGCCAGCAGCCGCGGUAAUACGUAGGGUGCGAGCGUUAAUCGGAAUUACUGGGCGUAAAGCGUGCGCAGGCGGUUCGUUGUGUCGGCGGUGAAAGCCCCGGGCUUAACCUGGGAAUGGCCGUUGAAACUGGCGAACUGGAGUGUGGCAGAGGGGGGUGGAAUUCCGCGUGUAGCAGUGAAAUGCGUAGAGAUGCGGAGGAACACCGAUGGCGAAGGCAGCCCCCUGGGCUAACACUGACGCUCAGGCACGAAAGCGUGGGGAGCAACAGGAUUAGAUACCCUGGUAGUC